AGGAAUGGCUUCUAGGGUUCCGGUUAUCUGUGCAGUUAAUGUCUGGUCCAAGAGAAGCAGCCGAUUUUUAAUCUCAGAAGCGUGAACAAAAAUCGGUGACACGGCGGGAAAAAAGCCCGGGAGAG
rnacentral:sRNA from 2 species